rnacentral:rRNA from 1 species
UACGUAGGGUGCGAGCGUUUGUCCGGAAUUAUUGGGCGUAAAGAGCUCGUAGGCGGUUUGUCGCGUCGGCCGUGAAAACUUGGGGCUUAACCCCAAGCCUGCGGUCGAUACGGGCAGACUUGAGUUCGGCAGGGGAGACUGGAAUUCCUGGUGUAGCGGUGAAAUGCGCAGAUAUCAGGAGGAACACCGGUGGCGAAGGCGGGUCUCUGGGCCGAUACUGACGCUGAGGAGCGAAAGCGUGGGGAGCGAACAGG